rnacentral:piRNA from 2 species
UCCUGCAGGAGGACAGGGCUCAGACGC